AGCAGCCGCGGUAAUUCCAGCUCCAAUAGCGUAUAUUAAAGUUGUUGCAGUUAAAAAGCUCGUAGUUGAAUUUCGGGGUUAGUAGGUUGGUCAUGCCUCUGGUAUGUACUGGUCUCACUGAUUCCUCCUUCCUUAUGAACCGUAAUGCCAUUAAUUUGGUGUUGCGGGGAAUUUGGACUGUUACUUUGAAAAAAUUAGAGUGUUUAAAGCAAGCUAACGCUUGAAUACAUUAGCAUGGAAUAAUGAAAUAGGACGUUCGAUCUUAUUUUGUUGGUUUCUAGGAUUGACGUAAUGAUUAAUAGGGAUAGUUGGGGGCAUUAGUAUUCAAUUGUCAGAGGUGAAAUUCUUGGAUUUAUUGAAGACUAACUACUGCGAAAGCAUUUGCCAAGGAUGUUUUCAUUAAUCAAGAACGAAAGUUAGGGGAUCGAAGACGAUCAGAUACCGUCGUAGUCUUAACCAUAAACUAUGCCGACUAGGGAUCGGAUGAUGUUAAUUUUUUAAUGACUCAUUCGGCGCCUUA
rnacentral:sRNA from 1 species